rnacentral:rRNA from 1 species
UACGGGAGGGGCUAGCGUUAUUCAUCAUAAGCGGGCGUAAAGGGUGAGUAGACGAUGUUUAUUAGCUAAAUCAAAAAAACAGUCUGGUGACUGUUAGGAUUUACCUAACAAUUAAUCAGCGAUGAGAGAUGUGGAUAGAAUUACUAAUGUAAAGGUAAAAUAUGAUGAUAUUAGUACGUAUGCCAACGGCGAAGGCAUUCUACAAGGUAGUCGGACGUUGAGGUGCGAAAGCAUGGGAAUCAAACAGG